rnacentral:rRNA from 1 species
GAUGAACGCUGGCGGCGUGCCUAAUACAUGCAAGUCGAGCGAACGGACGAGAAGCUUGCUUCUCUGAUGUUAGCGGCGGACGUGUGAGUAACACGUGGAUAACCUACCUAUAAGACUGGGAUAACUUCGGGAAACCGGAGCUAAUACCGGAUAAUAUUUUGAACCGCAUGGUUCAAAAGUGAAAGACGGUCUUGCUGUCACUUAUAGAUGGAUCCGCGCUGCAUUAGCUAGUUGGUAAGGUAACGGCUUACCAAGGCAACGAUGCAUAGCCGACCUGAGAGGGUGAUCGGCCACACUGGAACUGAGACACGGUCCAGACUCCUACGGGAGGCAGCAGUAGGGAAUCUUCCGCAAUGGGCGAAAGCCUGACGGAGCAACGCCGCGUGAGUGAUGAAGGUCUUCGGAUCGUAAAACUCUGUUAUUAGGGAAGAACAUAUGUGUAAGUAACUGUGCACAUAUUGACGGUACCUAAUCAGAAAGCCACGGCUAACUACGUG